rnacentral:piRNA from 1 species
CCAAAUGGUAUACAUGGCUGAGAGCUCAA